rnacentral:rRNA from 1 species
CUGGCGGCGUGCUUACACAUGCAAGUCGAGCGAAGCAGUCCUGGUAGCUUGCUACCGGGUCUGACUGAGCGGCGAACGGGUGAGUAACACGUGGGUAAUCUGCCUGGAAGACCGGGAUAACAGUUCGAAAGGACUACUAAUACCGGAUGAUAUUGGCGAUAUAAUGUUGUCAAUCAAAAGCGUUACGGAGCGCUUUCAGAUGAGCCCGCGUCCCAUUAGCUAGUUGGUAAGGUAAAGGCUUACCAAGGCGACGAUGGGUAGCCGGUCUGAGAGGAUGGUCGGCCACACUGGAACCGAGACACGGUCCAGACUCCUACGGGAGGCAGCAGUGGGGAAUUUUGCGCAAUGGGGGCAACCCUGACGCAGCGACGCCGCGUGAGCGAUGAAGGCCUUCGGGUCGUAAAGCUCUGUCUAGGGGGAAGAUAGUGACGGUACCCCUGGAGGAAGCCCCGGCUAACUACGUGCCAGCAGCCGCGGUAAGACGUAGGGGGCGAGCGUUGUCCGGAAUUACUGGGCGUAAAGGGCGCGUAGGCGGCCUGUUAAGUCAGCUGUGAAAUCCCUCGGCUCAACCGGGGGCUUGCAGUUGAAACUAGUAGGCUUGAGUGCAGGAGAGGAAGGUGGAAUUCCCGGUGUANCGGUGAAAUGCGUAGAUAUCGGGGAGGAACACCGGUGGCGAAGGCGGNCNUUCUGGCCUGUGNACUGACGCUGAGGCGCGAAAGCUAGGGGAGGCAACAGGAUUAGAUACCNNGGUANCCUAGCUGUAACGNUGGGUACUANGUUUAAGGGGUUUAAACCCCUCUGUG